AAAUGCUGAUGGAGUCUCCUCUGCAUAUCUCAGAGGGAGGGGAGAGGCACACAGUGGGCAACAUCAUUUACCAUAUGUUCAGCAACAUCCACAGCUCAGAAUCAACAAUGGGCAGAGGUUGGCUCCUUUGGAUGACAUUACUGAGCAUGCUCAGUGAUUCCCUAGAUAAUCCUUUCUUUGGUAGAUGCCUAGGAUGUCAACAAUCUGGUAUGUUCAUUCAUGAGCUCAGCUUGGAGCAGACCUUUACUGUCCANNNNNNNNNNAGGACUGGUGUCUCCUCUCACUCAUGGGUAAAAUAUUGGGGAGCUCUCUGGGCAUCUAAUCUAAAGCCAUACUCUCUCACCAUCUGUCUAACUUCUGUAUGUUUCUCCAUUGGUUCCAAACUGGGAAGGUAAUAGAAGAGAUGCUGUAAAUUAACUUGACUCAAAGAGCUCCAACAGAGAAAUAUCCAUCAAGAUGGGAAAGAUUACACACAGGAAAGAGGCUAGCAUGGCAACAUGAGACAUCAUACAGAGAAGAUUCUGGGAAAGCAGGAUGUUAUUCCAAGACUUGGCUCUGUUUUUAUAUUUUUACACGUGUCAUAUACUGUAGUUUCAGCAGUAUUUUAUCUGUGCUGGAAUUAUAAAUGAUGGGAACUGAGCACUAUCUACCAAGUUUUAGAAUUCAGCAAUUCUGCCAGUAUGAUGGAUACUCAAGCACCUACUUGUCCCGUGGUAAACAGCAUGGUAGGCCCAAGAAAACCUCCCAAGACUCACAGAAACUCAAGUCAAUGCCAAUAUCACAGAGCUCUAGCUGACUGAGAGUCUGGCCCAUGGGAAAGGUUUUGAGGAGACUGAGAUUUAAAUCCAUGUUUGAGAAACUGUGGCUACUAUUUCACAUCUAAUCCUAAUAUCUUCAUAUAGGACUACCACAACAGCUACAGCUACCAUUAAAUGAAGCCUAUGCUUAGAUCCUGUAUUAGUUACUUUUCUGUUGUUGUUAUGAAAACACCAUGACCAAAGCAACUUUGUGAAGAAAGAGUUUAUUUGGGCUUGUUGUUCGAGAGGAAGAAGAGUCCAUCAUGUUGGAAAAGCAUGCAGAAAAUGGCAGGCAUGAGAGGAAGAGCAGGAAGCUGAGGGCUCACAUCUUCACAUUCAAGGGUGAAGCAGAGAGAGCCAACUGAAAGUAGGCCAGGCUACUCACUCUCAAUGCCUCCCCACAGUAAUAUACUUCUUCAGCCAGGAUGCACCACCUAACAUGCCCCAAUCAAAGGGGGCCCAAAUGUUCAAAUGCUCAAGUCUGUGGAGGGCAUUUUCUCAUAUAAACACCAGAGUACUAAUGGCAGCUAUUUUUCCAGUGUAACAGAUAAUGAAACUGAGGCCCAAAGAUGUCAUAUUGUAUGGUGUCAGAUAACCUUUGUCAAUAAACAUGAUGUAGUAUUUCUGCC
rnacentral:lncRNA from 1 species